AUAUACGACCGUACCGCAAACCGACACUGGUGCGCGAGAUGAGUACUCUAAGGCGCUUGAGAGAACUCAGGAGAAGGAACUCGGCAAAUUGACACCGUAACUUCGGAAGAAGGUGUGCCCUAUUAGUGUGUAGUGAACAACGAAGCAUGAAUGGGUUGCAAAAAAUCGGUGGCUGCGACUGUUUAUUAAAAACACAGCACUCUGCAAACACGAAAGUGGACGUAUAGGGUGUGACGCCUGCCCGGUGCUGGAAGAUUAAAUGAUGGGGUGCAAGCUCUUGAUUGAAGUCCCAGUAAACGGCGGCCGUAACUAUAACGGUCCUAAGGUAGCGAAAUUCCUUGUCGGGUAAGUUCCGACCUGCACGAAUGGCGUAACGAUGGCCACACUGUCUCCUCCUGAGACUCAGCGAAGUUGAAAUGUUUGUGAUGAUGCAAUCUCCCCGCGGAAAGACGGAAAGACCCCAUGAACCUUUACUGUAGCUUUGUAUUGGACUUUGAACAGAUCUGUGUAGGAUAGGUGGGAGGCUUUGAAGCAGGGUCGCUAGAUCUUGUGGAGCCAACGUUGAAAUACCACCCUGGUGUGUUUGAGGUUCUAACCUAGGUCCAUUAUCUGGAUCGGGGACAGUGCAUGGUAGGCAGUUUGACUGGGGCGGUCUCCUCCCAAAGCGUAACGGAGGAGUUCGAAGGUACGCUAGUUACGGUCGGACAUCGUGACGAUAGUGCAAUGGCAUAAGCGUGCUUAACUGCGAGACUGACAAGUCGAGCAGAUGCGAAAGCAGGACAUAGUGAUCCGGUGGUUCUGUAUGGAAGGGCCAUCGCUCAACGGAUAAAAGGUACUCUGGGGAUAACAGGCUGAUACCGCCCAAGAGUUCAUAUCGACGGCGGUGUUUGGCACCUCGAUGUCGGCUCAUCUCAUCCUGGGGCUGUAGCCGGUCCCAAGGGUAUGGCUGUUCGCCAUUUAAAGAGGUACGUGAGCUGGGUUUAAAACGUCGUGAGACAGUUUGGUCCCUAUCUUCCGUGGGCGCUGCAGAUUUGAGGAAGCCUGCUCCUAGUACGAGAGGACCGGAGUGGACACACCUCUGGUGUAUCGGUUGUCACGCCAGUGGCAUUGCCGAGUAGCUAAGUGUGGAAGAGAUAACCGCUGAAAGCAUCUAAGCGGGAAACUCGUUUCAAGAUGAGAUCUGCCGGGGCCUUGAGCCCCCUAAAGGGUCGUUCAAGACCAGGACGUUGAUAGGUCAGGUGUGGAAGC
rnacentral:rRNA from 1 species